rnacentral:misc_RNA from 1 species
GUAUUGUAUUGCGUUAAACGCGGCAUACAUUCCAUAAGACUUUAUUACAGAGUGUGUGUAAAGAUGCAGAACCACAACAGGAGGACAGAGUCCCCCCAGCCAUAGAACUACAGAGGGUGCACAGGUGUGAGUGGAUGUGCGAACAGAGCGUGCACAUGCCCCCAUUUUGAGGACCAGCAACAACUCGUGUUGACAAUUCAGUAAUGAUCCUUCCGCAGGUUCACCUACGGAAA